rnacentral:lncRNA from 1 species
CUUUGAUAUAUUUUAUGUUACUUUUUAGAAAGGAAGAAAAAAACAAUGGUUUAUUUUGAAAUGAAAUUUUUGAAUUACCAAAUAGUCUCAUAUUAAGUACCUCGUUCUUAGUUUUUGGAUUAUCUCCCAUUUUUAGAAAAUUAGACCAUGUAUAAAUCAUUUUCUGAUAAAAUACAGGAAUAUUUUUAAGAUUUAGUCCUUUAAUAUUUGAACAUUUACAUAAAAAAUACUGAUCAUUAUACUUGUUGUCAAAUUGUCGAAGCCAAUACUUGCCAAUCGCAUUCCAGCUUUCUAAUGGUUCGUGAAGAAUACGAUAAAGAGACUUUAUUUGCUUACUUCUAAUGAAUAAGUCGAUACUAAUCAUGCCCAUUCCGCCCUUUGUUAUAUCAAGACAACAAACCUGUCUUUCUAUUUGGUUAACUUUCCCAUCCCAUAUAAAAUUCCAAAUGAUACUGUUUAUUUCUUUUGAAUAUUUUUCAAGAAUACCCCGCAUUUCAAUUUCAUAACUACACAUGGGCAAUAUGAAAUUUUUUACUAUUAAGGUUUUACCACUAAAUGAAAGUUUCCUGCUUUUCCAAACGUGGACACAGUUUUUAAUCUUUUCUAUUAUACUUUGCCAUAUAGCAUCAUUAUCAAUUUCAUAUCCGUGAUUUACUCCUAGGGUUUUUACAUUACCUGUAAUCCAUUUAAUUUUAUUAAAUUUUAGUUUUUUCCUUUUAAG